rnacentral:tRNA from 1 species
GCCAUGCCAGUAUGGUGAUUAUAACUCUCGGCUUGUAUCCGAGUGGGUUCGGGUUCAAAUCCCGAGUAAGACA